GGCUUUGUAGUGGAAAGAAGACGCCAGGCUGCAAUCCUGGAGAUGUAAUAAUAUUACCUUAGCUU
rnacentral:tRNA from 1 species